GCACCUUCCCGAAAUUGCUGACGUCGGGGGCCAGGCUGAGCUGCUGGGGGUCGACGGGCGAGCGGAGGGUGAAGCGCUGCAGGAUGGAGCAGGAUCAGGAAGCCGUAGCGUAAGGUGGUGCUGACGGUCUCCGUCCCGGCAAAGAAUAAAUUGAAGGUGGCCAUGACCAGGUUCUCCAUGGAAAACUCGGUAGCUGGAUUCUGCUUCUCCUGGAGAAAGAAAAAGUUUCAAGGAAAGCGGGUGUUUCCCACAGAACGAUCUGUGGUGUCGGAACUGGAAUUUAUUGAAAAUCCCAGUGAGAGGUUUUCAACCGACCCCAGUGAACUCUUAGAGCAGCUACUCAAGCAGAGCAAAACUUUUCGGCUGAAAUGUUCACCCUGAAAUGCAGCUCAGGGGUCGACCGAAACACGCAGUGAACUCAUGGUCAAUUUCCGCAAUUGUUUCAACCAAUACAAAAUUCUGAAAAACUAUUUUCAAAACAAAGCGGUUUGAUCUUUUCAUUUGUUCUAAAGGUUACAAGUCUGAAGUGAAUCAGGCCGCGCGCCCCAGCA